rnacentral:rRNA from 1 species
AUUGAACGCUGGCGGCAUGCUUUACACAUGCAAGUCGAACGGCAGCGCGGGCUUCUGCCUGGCGGCGAGUGGCGAACGGGUGAGUAAUGCAUCGGAACGUGCCCAGUAGUGGGGGAUAGCCCGGCGAAAGCCGGAUUAAUACCGCAUACGACCUGAGGGUGAAAGCGGGGGUCCGAAAGGCCUCUCGCUUUUUUAUCGGCCGAUGUCGGAUUAGCUAGUUGGUUGGGUAAAGGCUUACCAAGGCGACGAUCCGUAGCUGGUGUGAGAGGACGACCAGCCACACUGGGACUGAGACACGGCCAAGACGCCUACGGGAGGCAGCAGUGGGGAAUUUUGGACAAUGGGGGCAACCCUGAUCCAGCCAGGCCGCGUGCGGGAAGAAGGCCUUCGGGUUGUAAACCGCUUUUGUUCGGGAAGAAAUACUCUGGGCUAAUACCCCGGGGGGAUGACGGUACCGGAAGAAUAAGCACCGGCUAACUACGUG